AAACAUGACUUUGAUCUGCGUCCUCAUCUGGACUCUCCUCUGCUGCUGCUUCACAGAGUCCAGAGGACAGAUCACAGUGACUCAGCCUGGAGCAGUGAGCUCUGCUGUGGGACGAUCUGUGACCAUCAACUGUAGGACCAGUCAGGAUGUAGCAGGCUCCAACUAUUUAUCCUGGUACCAACAGAAAGAUGGAGAACCACACAAACUGCUCAUUUACACUGCUAACAGGAGAGAAUCAGGGAUUCCAGCUCGUUUUACAGGCAGUGGAUCAAACUCUGUCUUCACUCUGACCAUCAGUGGAGUCCAGGCUGAAGAUGCAGCAGUUUAUUACUGUCAGAGUUUUCACUAUAUCAACAGUCAAGAUGUGUUCACACAGUGA